rnacentral:rRNA from 1 species
GAUGAACGCUGGCGGCGUGCCUAAUACAUGCAAGUCGAGCGAACAGACGAGGAGCUUGCUCCUCUGACGUUAGCGGCGGACGGGUGAGUAACACGUGGAUAACCUACCUAUAAGACUGGGAUAACUUCGGGAAACCGGAGCUAAUACCGGAUAAUAUAUUGAACCGCAUGGUUCAAUAGUGAAAGACGGUUUUGCUGUCACUUAUAGAUGGAUCCGCGCCGCAUUAGCUAGUUGGUAAGGUAACGGCUUACCAAGGCGACGAUGCGUAGCCGACCUGAGAGGGUGAGCGGCCACACUGGAACUGAGACACGGUCCAGACUCCUACGGGAGGCAGCAGUAGGGAAUCUUCCGCAAUGGGCGAAAGCCUGACGGGGCAACGCCGCGUGAGUGAUGAAGGUCUUCGGAUCGUAAAACUCUGUUAUUAGGGAAGAACAAAUGUGUAAGUAACUAUGCACGUCUUGACGGUACCUAAUCAGAAAGCCACGGCUAACUACGUG